GACGAACGCUGGCGGCGUGCCUAAUACAUGCAAGUCGAACGCUUCUUUCCUCCCGAGUGCUUGCACUCAAUUGGAAAGAGGAGUGGCGGACGGGUGAGUAACACGUGGGUAACCUACCCAUCAGAGGGGGAUAACACUUGGAAACAGGUGCUAAUACCGCAUAACAGUUUAUGCCGCAUGGCAUAAGAGUGAAAGGCGCUUUCGGGUGUCGCUGAUGGAUGGACCCGCGGUGCAUUAGCUAGUUGGUGAGGUAACGGCUCACCAAGGCCACGAUGCAUAGCCGACCUGAGAGGGUGAUCGGCCACACUGGGACUGAGACACGGCCCAGACUCCUACGGGAGGCAGCAGUAGGGAAUCUUCGGCAAUGGACGAAAGUCUGACCGAGCAACGCCGCGUGAGUGAAGAAGGUGUUCGGAUCGUAAAACUCUGUUGUUAGAGAAGAACAAGGACGUUAGUAACUGAACGUCACCUGACGGUAUCUAACCAGAAAGCCACGGCUAACUACGUG
rnacentral:rRNA from 1 species